CAAAAUUGCACUAGGAUUCAUUUUAAUCGCCUGCAGAACAUGAGUGGGGUCGCGCCUGAUACGUGGUCCUUCUUGGAGUCCGCAACUUCAAUUGAAUGCGAAAGUUAUCGAGAUGUGGAUAAAUUGGCUAAAAAGAAAGCUAUCAGUAGAGGAACACCACCUGUAAAAGCAUUGAUCGAUUCAGCAAAAUUAAUCGCCUCCAGGAGUUACUUGAAAGCGGAGGUAUUAAUGAAUUGGAGUUUUUACAAAGAGGUGUUUCAGCAGCUGAGCAACUGGUUCGCAAUUUAAUAUUCACAAAUCCAGACCCAAAUUCUGGAUUUGAAAUCGUUGACCUCGUACCCAUCCAUCACAAAUUGACGAUCACCAUUGCUCGCUUACGGGAAAUGGAGCCCGAGGCACCGGAGUUACUAUUGUUGGGGGAAAUAAAUGUUAAUGAGAACAUUAAUAAUAACGACAAUGAAGUUGACUCAGAUGACGAAUCUGAAACUGGGCCCAUCCGCCUUUAUGGCUAUGGCUGGGUGGAAAGUAACGAAACAGUUAUUAUGGUUAUAAGUGGCCA